rnacentral:rRNA from 1 species
CCUACGGGAGGCAGCAGUAGGGAAUAUUGGUCAAUGGAUGCAAGUCUGAACCAGCCAUGCCGCGUGCAGGAAGAAGGCCUUCUGGGUUGUAAACUGCUUUUGUCAGGGGAUAAAAUGGGCGUGCGCGCCUAAUUGAAGGUACCUGGUGAAUAAGCCACGGCUAACUACGUGCCAGCAGCCGCGGUAAUACGUAGGUGGCAAGCGUUGUCCGGAUUUAUUGGGUUUAAAGGGUGCGUAGGCGGUUUUUUAAGUCAGUGGUGAAAUACUCUAGCUCAACUAGAGGGGUGCCAUUGAUACUGAAGAACUUGAGUGAAGUCGAAGUAGGCGGAAUUGACGGUGUAGCGGUGAAAUGCUUAGAUAUCGUCAAGAACACCGAUAGUGAAGACAGCUUACUAGGCUUAUACUGACGCUGAGGCACGAAAGUGUGGGGAUCAAACAGGAUUAGAUACCCCUGUAGUC